rnacentral:rRNA from 1 species
UGAGGAAUAUUGCGCAAUGGGCGAAAGCCUGACGCAGCGACGCCGCGUGGAGGAUGAAGGUUUUCGGAUUGUAAACUCCUGUUAAGUGGGAAGAAACGACAAAAUAUAAUACAUUUUGUAACUGACGGUACCAUUAAAGAAAGCACCGGCUAACUUCGUGCCAGCAGCCGCGGUAAUACGAGGGGUGCAAGCGUUAUUCGGAAUUAUUGGGCGUAAAGGGUGCGUAGGCGGCGUAUUAAGUCAACUGUUAAAACCUCCAGCCUAACUGGAGAUCAGCAGUAGAUACUGGUAUGCUAGAGGAUGGAAGAGAGAAGUGGAAUUCUUGGAGUAGCGGUGGAAUGCGUAGAUCUCAAGAGGAACACCAAUGGCGAAGGCAGCUUCUUGGUCCAUAUCUGACGCUGAUGCACGAAAGGCGCGGGGGAGCAAAACAGGAUUAGAUACCCCUGGUAGUCCCACGCCGUAAACGAUGAUCACUAGAUGUUAAUUCUGCUUGCAGAAUUAGUGUCGUAGCUAACGCGAUAAGUGAUCCGCCUGGGGGACUACGGUCGCAAGA